UAUAGCCAUCCAUGACUGAGCAGUGGUAGGAUGAUGUUUACUGUCCCAGAAUAUCAUUUUACACUGCUCUAUCAUGAAUGGUUUCU
ensembl:miRNA aca-mir-5454 aca-mir-5454